UGGGGAAUCUUGGACAAUGGGGGCAACCCUGAUCCAGCGAUGCCGCGUGGGUGAAGAAGGCCUUCGGGUUGUAAAGCCCUUUAGGUUGGGAAGAAGGGUGCUAGGUGAAUAGCCUAGUGCUUUGACGGUACCGACAGAAUAAGCACCGGCAAACUCUGUGCCAGCAGCCGCGGUAAUACAGAGGGUGCGAGCGUUAAUCGGAAUUACUGGGCGUAAAGGGCGCGUAGGCGGUUUAAUUUGUGUGAUGUGAAAGCCCUGGGCUUAACCUGGGAAGUGCAUCGCAAACGGUUAAACUGGAGUAUAGGAGAGGGUGGCGGAAUUUCCGGUGUAGCGGUGAAAUGCGUAGAGAUCGGAAGGAACGUCAAUGGCGAAGGCAGCCACCUGGCCUAAUACUGACGCUGAGGCGCGAAAGCGUGGGGAUCGAACAGGAUUAGAUACCCCCGUAGUCC
rnacentral:rRNA from 1 species